ACUCCGUAGGUGAACCUGCGGAGGGAUCAUUACAGAGUUCAUGCCCUCACGGGUAGAUCUCCCACCCUGUGUUAUUAUACUUUGUUGCUUUGGCAGGCCGCCCGCGUGGGCUACCGGCUCCAGCUGGUAAGUGCCUGCCAGAGGACCCCAAACUCUGAAUAUUUUAUUGUCUGAGUACUAUAUAAUAGUUUAAAACUUUCAACAACGGAUCUCUUGGUUCUG
rnacentral:misc_RNA from 1 species